rnacentral:rRNA from 1 species
AUGGUUCGGGCCAAGCAGAGAAAGAUAGGUGAGAUAUGCUCAGAGGUGAUCAUCGACAAGUCCUCGGACAAGAUGACGAUGGAGAGUAUAGUGGAGGCACAUCACAUCAUGAAGAAGGUGCACGAGUACGUCAAGACGACGAACGUCGUGAUCCUCAGGCUAUGGUCCAUUAUUCUAGCCCGGCCACCAAAGGAAAUUCACCUGUGCGGCGGCGGCGGGGAAGGAGCAGCACCGGCAGCCCUGACAGAGGAAGCCAUGUUGCCGUUUUGUUUGUUCCCAGCCUUGACUAUGGUUGUCCAGCGAGUCCGGCAUGUCGUCAUUUUCUUGUAA